CCGGGUAAUAUACUUUUUAUAUCUAAUUCCUUUUAUAGGAAUGAUCGUAGGGGCUAUGUGCGCAAUAACUGGAGUGCUAACCAUCUCCCUACCUGUGCCAGUCAUUGUUUCCAAU
rfam:Hymenolepis microstoma genomic scaffold, pathogens_HYM_scaffold_0001